ACUGCUCAGUAACACGUGGACAACUUACCCAAGAGUCCGGGAUAACCCCGGGAAACUGGGGAUAAUACCGGAUAGAUCAUCUUUGCUGGAAGGCUUGGUGGUUGAAACUUCCGGGGCUUUUGGAUGGGUCUGCGGCUGAUUAGGUUGUUGCCGGUGUAACGUACCGUCAAGCCUGUAAUCAGUACGGGUUGUGGGAGCAAGAGCCCGGAGAUGGAUUCUGAGACACGAAUCCAGGCCCUACGGGGCGCAGCAGGCGCGAAAACUCUACAAUGCAGGCAACUGCGAUAGGGGAACAUCGAGUGAUCCUCAUAUUGGGGGUCUGUCCACCUGUCUAAAAAACGGGUGUUAGCAAGGGCCGGGCAAGACCGGUGCCAGCCGCCGCGGUAAUACCGGCGGCUCGAGUGGUGGCCGAUAUUAUUGAGUCUAAAGGGUCCGUAGCCGGCUUUGCAAGUCUCUCGGGAAAUCCAGCGGCUUAACCGUUGGUCGUCCGGGGGGUACUACAUUGCUUGGGACUGGGAGAGGUAGGAGGUACUCAGGGGGUAGGAGUGAAAUCCUGUAAUCCUUUGGGGACCACCGGUGGCGAAGGCGUCCUACCAGAACAGGUCCGACGGUGAGGGACGAAAGCUAGGGGCACGAACCGGAUUAGAUACCCGGGUAGUCCUAGCCGUAAACGAUGCUCGCUAGGUGUCACAACAGUCGUGAAUUGUUGUGGUGCCGUAGGGAAGCCGUGAAGCGAGCCACUUGGGAAGUACGACCGCAAGGUUGAAACUUAAAGGAAUUGGCGGGGGAGCA
rnacentral:rRNA from 1 species